GAUGAACGCUGGCGGCGUGCUUAACACAUGCAAGUCGAACGAUGAAGCCCAGCUUGCUGGGUGGAUUAGUGGCGAACGGGUGAGUAACACGUGAGUACCCUGCCCUUAACUCUGGGAUAAGCCUGGGAAACUGGGUCUAAUACCGGAUAGGAGCGUCCACCGCAUGGUGGGUGUUGGAAAGAUUUAUCGGUUUUGGAUGGACUCGCGGCCUAUCAGCUUGUUGGUGAGGUAAUGGCUCACCAAGGCGACGACGGGUAGCCGGCCUGAGAGGGUGACCGGCCACACUGGGACUGAGACACGGCCCAGACUCCUACGGUGGGCAGCAGUGGGGAGUAUUGCACAGUGGGCGCAAGCCUGAUGCAGCGACGCCGCGUGAGGGAUGACGGCCUUCGGGUUGUAAACCUCUUUCAGUAGGGAAGAAGCGAAAAUGACGGUACCUGCAGAAGAAGCACCGGCUAACUACGUG
rnacentral:rRNA from 1 species